AACGCACAUUGCGCCCUGUGGUAUUCCGCAGGGCAUGCCUGUUCGAGCGUCAUUUCAACCCUCAAGCACUGCUUGGUGUUGGGCCCUGCCCGUCGCGGCCGGCCCUAAAACCAGUGGCGGCGCCGUCUGGCUCUAAGCGUAGUACAUCUCUCGCUCUAGAGUCCUGCGGUGGCUUGCCAGAACCCCUAAUUCUUAUGGUUGACCUCGGAUCAGGUAGGGAUACCCGCUGAACUUAA
rnacentral:misc_RNA from 1 species